rnacentral:rRNA from 1 species
GUACACUCCUGCGGGAGGCAGCAGUGGGGAAUUUUGGACAAUGGGCGAAAGCCUGAUCCAGCAAUGCCGCGUGUGUGAAGAAGGCCUUCGGGUUGUAAAGCACUUUUGACCGGAAAGAAAUCCUUGGCUCUAAUACAGUCGGGGGAUGACGGUACCGGAAGAAUAAGCACCGGCUAACUACGUGCCAGCAGCCGCGGUAAUACGUAGGGUGCGAGCGUUAAUCGGAAUUACUGGGCGUAAAGCGUGCGCAGGCGGUUUGCUAAGACCGAUGUGAAAUCCCCGGGCUCAACCUGGGAACUGCAUUGGUGACUGGCAGGCUAGAGUAUGGCAGAGGGGGGUAGAAUUCCACGUGUAGCAGUGAAAUGCGUAGAGAUGUGGAGGAAUACCGAUGGCGAAGGCAGCCCCCUGGGCCAAUACUGACGCUCAUGCACGAAAGCGUGGGGAGCAAACAGGAUUAGAUACCCCGGUAGUCCCA